UACAGAGGGUGCGAGCGUUAAUCGGAAUUACUGGGCGUAAAGCGCGCGUAGGCGGCGUGAUAAGCCGGUUGUGAAAGCCCCGGGCUCAACCUGGGAACGGCAUCCGGAACUGUCAGGCUAGAGUGCAGGAGAGGAAGGUAGAAUUCCCGGUGUAGCGGUGAAAUGCGUAGAGAUCGGGAGGAAUACCAGUGGCGAAGGCGGCCUUCUGGACUGACACUGACGCUGAGGUGCGAAAGCGUGGGUAGCAAACAGG
rnacentral:rRNA from 1 species